rnacentral:snoRNA from 1 species
AUCAUCAGUAGCGGUUAAUACUAUCUCAAGAUAAUAUUAAUUACGUUAAAUUAUAGAAACCUACGGUUCAUUUAUUGUUAUCUUUAUGACGGGAGAAUGAUAUCGUCUUUCUUUAUGGAAGAUGUAUUGUUUUUAUCGUUAGUUAAUACUGAGAUGAUGAUUUCUGAAACCAUUACCAUAACCCAUAGCUGAAUGAAUUUUGACUACCUCCAAACAAGGUUAGGCACAAUAUUCAUUUCGUUUCCGGUUUCUUAGAUCAAAUUUACUAUUUAAGAAAGGUAUUUUAUUUCGGUAAAUUAUCCUUUCUUGUUUAUGAUGAAGGUUCCAUAACAAAAAUAAGUGGAAUUAGAUGCAUGUCUUUUCAGAGGGUUGUAUAAUGCAAUCUGAGAGUUUGAAAGUCUUCUGUGCCUCUUCGUCAUGAUAGAACAGAC